rnacentral:misc_RNA from 1 species
GAAAUGCGAUAAGUAGUGUGAAUUGCAGAAUUCAGUGAAUCAUCGAAUCUUUGAACGCAUAUUGCGCCCCUCGGUAUUCCGUGGGGCAUGCCUGUUUGAGUAUCAUGAAAUCUUCAAAGUAAAUCUUUUGUUAACUCAAUUGGUUUCUACUUUGGUAUUGGAGGUCUUUGCAGCUUCACACCUGCUCCUCUUUGUUCAUUAGCUGGAUCUCAGUGUUAUGCUUGGUUCCACUCGGCGUGAUAAGUUAUCUAUCGCUGAGGACACUGUAAAAGGUGGCCAAGGUAAAUGCAGAUGAACCGCUUCUAAUAGUCCAUUGACUUGGACAAUACUUUUAUGAUCUGAUCUCAAAUCAGGUAGGACUACCCGCUGAACUUAAGC